rnacentral:rRNA from 1 species
AGUGAACGCUGGCGGUAGGCCUAACACAUGCAAGUCGAACGGCGGCACAGUAAGAGCUUGCUCUUACGGGUGGCGAGUGGCGGACGGGUGAGGAAUACAUCGGAUUCUACUUUUUCGUGGGGGGUAACGUAGGGAAACUUACGCUAAUACCGCAUACGACCUCCGGGUGAAAGCAGGGGAUCUUCGGACCUUGCGCGAUUGAAUGAGCCGAUGUCGGAUUAGCUAGUUGGCGGGGGAAAGGCCCACCAAGGCGACGAUCCGUAGCUGGUCUGAGAGGAUGAUCAGCCAGACUGGAACUGAGACAGAGUCCAGACUCCUACGGGAAGCAGCAGGGGGGAAUAUUGGACAAUGGGCGCAAGCCUGAUCCAGCCAUACCGCGUGGGGGAAGAAGGCGUUCGGGUUGUAAAGCCCUUUUGUUAGGAAAGAAAAACAGCAGGUUAAUACCCCACUGUUCUGACGGUACCCAAAGAAUAAGCACCGGCUAACUUCGUG